AACGAAGGCCAAAACUAGAAUCGCGACCUAUCUGAGGAAUUUCAAGUUUAGACUCGGCCACUUUAAUCUGACCCGUGGAAGAGGCAGGACUGGGAAGAUUUCUUGUAUAGUUUCGCGGUGUGAAUUUUGAGGUAGUGCUAAAAAGCUAGAAUAAGUAAGUGCGGUACUGUGCGAGAUUUGGCAAGAAAACAAAAAGGUAAAAAGAGAACGCUUUUGCUUUCUAAACGAUACGCUCACACUGUGGUGUAGCCGUCCAACGGCUUUUUUGUUCCAGUUUUUUCUUUGUGCACGCCGCCUCACCUCCUGCUCGGCACACCGCGCCCAUCAAGCCAAGUACCUCUAUCCUGACCCCACGCGCCAGCAUUAAAGGUCCCCAACGUCCGGCCGGCGUUGGAAGGGAGUUGCAAUCGCCAACACUGCACUCCGGAAGAGCCCGAUUCCCGCCCACUGGGAAUUAUUCAUUCGCCGCCCACCAAGUUGGCGAAUUAUUAGCAGCGCGAGUCAUCCAAGCGACGCGCCAUUGUUCACUGUGGUGAACCAGCACCGGCGCGGCGACGCGACGCGAGAGGCAGAGAGAAGUAACAAACCGUGAGUAAGCUCCUGCGGGAGAGGUACAAAUGUUUAUUUGAGCGUGCUUAAAGCGAAGAAGAUGUGAGAAAGCUCGAGUUUUAUAGCAAGAAAUCCGCACAGUUAGGCAGUUAGAAGGGAGAGGAAGAAAGGAAAGAAGAGAGCGAGAGAAUCGCAUGGUUAGGGUACCCGAAUAAAAAUGAAUGUUUAGUGGAAUAGAUGUAGUUUGAAUAAAAGUUUUCGUGUUUUCUUAAAUGUUGUGUAAUUAGUGAGCUAGAACUUCCGUCUGAUGAUUGCACUGGUGUAGAAGGUAUUUUCACGUUUCGUUCGUUCCGUUUUGCUGUAGUUUUGGUUGAUGUACUCCAAGUGUGGACUGCUUGGGAAUCUCAGUCCCCCAUUCGUGUUUCUGAAGCGUUAGGGUUAGAGGGUUUGAGGAAGAACUUGGCCUGUGAUGAGAACUGGUCGACCACGUGCUUUCGUUCUGGUAGGAAUUCGAGCUCUGUAUUGCUUUUCGGGUUGGUUAGGAGUUGCGUUCCGAGUACUGAUUAAAUCUGGGUAUCUACUAAUACGUUCGGUCUAUUGACUAUAAUUGAACUCGCCCUGAGGCUUGAGUUUUGCCGGGCAACUAAAACGACAAGUGGUCCUCUUAGGAGGUGGCGCUUAAGCCAUUUGUUUAACCAAUUUUCGAACGCUCUAGUAGAUCUGAGACUUAGCCACUCGAGCCGGCUACAACCCCAUCCCCUGCAAAUGAAACGGUUGGUACGGUUUUCCCCGUUUCUUCCUUUAUCAUAUUCAAAAAAUUGCGUCAAUUAUGUUAUUCAUACGUGGGUAAUCUAAUUGCCGCUAGUUUUUGAACUUUCUUUAAAACCAUUAGUCUGCACAGUGGGCCUGGCCGUUUUAAUAUUUGUAUCA